rfam:Mesocricetus auratus contig117694, whole genome shotgun sequence.
GGUAAAAUGACUGGGUGAGCAUCAGACUGAAAAUCUAAAUACAGAGGUUUAAGUCCUCUUCCUACCA